UAUUUUGUACAUGCCUACAUCAUUAAUGCAUCGGAUCCCAUCAAAACUCUACAAUUAAGCAUGCUUGGGCUAAAGUAGUACUGGUAUGGGCGAACUCCCGAGAAGUCCUAGUGUUUUACAUGC
rnacentral:rRNA from 1 species